rnacentral:rRNA from 1 species
AUACGGAGGAUGCGAGCGUUAUCCGGAUUUAUUGGGUUUAAAGGGUGCGUAGGCUGUGCGUUAAGUCAGGGGUGAAAUGCCGUCGCUCAACGACGGAGCUGCCCUUGAUACUGGCGUGCUGGAGUACGGAUGCCGUUGGAGGAAUGAGUGGUGUAGCGGUGAAAUGCUUAGAUAUCACUCAGAACACCGAUUGCGAAGGCAGCUGACGAGUCCGUCACUGACGCUGAGGCACGAAAGCGUGGGGAUAGAACAGGAUUAGAUACCCUGGUAUUCCACGCCGUAAACGAUGAUGACUAACCGUCGGCGAUAGACAGCCGGUGGCCAAGCGAAAGCGAUAAGUCAUCCACCUGGGGAGUACGUCGGCAACGAUGAAACUUAAAGGAAUUGACGGGG